AAAGGAAAAAGGCUCCGGCGAGUGCGUAAAAAAACUCCUGGCCGCGGCGACGGAUGCGCCAAAGCUCGCCUGUUGUUCCGAGUGACUUUGCUGCGCGGCGCCGGAGCCCCGGAGGCUGUGCGGGAGCGCCCGAGAGGGACGGGGCCGGCCUUGGCGAGCCGGGACGGCGGCAGUGACGGUGGAAGCCCCCCCCCCUCGGCUCCCGGGGGACUCCGGACUCUUCUUCCUCCUCCUCCCGCUGCGCCUGAGGUUCCUUCGCCCGUUUGCCGCCCUCGCCGAAGCCAACCUGUCGCGGAGCUGCGGGUCAGCAGGAGCCGGAGAGGCGCCCCGGCGGGAGCCGCCUGCAGGGAACCGGGCCGGCCGCCUCCCCGCCUCGCUGAUGGAAGUCGUGGGCCGGUCCUGGCAGCGCUGGAGCCUGCGCGCCCCGUCCUAAGAGGCCUCCGCCGCCGCCGCGGGCCGCCGCUCCCCCAGCCCGCCUGCCGCCGCGGCUCCCCCGCCUGAAGGGGGGAGGGGAGAAGAAGCGCCAGAAGACCCCCGAGAUCCCCCCCACCACCACCCCUCGUCCGGCGGCCCGUCUCUUCCUCGCCUCCCGUCGCCGGCCAGCAGCAGGAGGACCGUGGUCGCCUCGCCCGGUUUAUACUUCUUUGGCUCUGGAGCAGCGGAGGGGUGGAGGGGGGCAGGCGGCGGCGGCGGCGGCGGGGGCGGCGCAGGAGGCGGCGGCGGGGCGGCCAUGCAGGCGCGCUAUCCGGUCUCCGGCCCCAACUCGCUGGGCGUGGUGCCCUACCUGGGCGGCGAGCAGAGCUACUACCGGGCGGCGGGCGGGGGCUACGCGGCCAUGCCGGCGCCGAUGAGCAUGUACCCGGCCCCCCCCGGGGCGCAUGAGGCCUACGCGGGCGGCGGCGGCGGCGGCGUGGGCGGCGGCGGCGGGCCGGGGGGCGGGCGGGCGUACGGGCCGUACCCGUCGGUGGCGGCGCCGCAGCCCAAGGACCUGGUGAAGCCGCCCUACUCGUACAUCGCGCUGAUCACCAUGGCCAUCCAGCAGGCGCCCGACAAGCGCAUCACCCUGAACGGCAUCUACCAGUUCAUCAUGGAGCGCUUCCCCUUCUACCGCGACAACAAGCAGGGCUGGCAGAACUCCAUCCGCCACAACCUCUCGCUCAACGAGUGCUUCGUCAAGGUGCCCCGCGACGACAAGAAGCCCGGCAAGGGCAGCUACUGGACCCUCGACCCGGACUCCUACAACAUGUUCGAGAACGGCUCCUUCCUCCGACGCCGACGCCGCUUCAAGAAGAAGGACGCCGCCGCCGCCACCGGCACCGGCAAGGACAAGGGCGACGACCCCGACCGCCCCCUCCAGCCCCAGGCCGCCGCCCGACGCCCCAGCCCCCCCGGCGGCGCCCCGAACGCCGCCCCCGCCCCGGAGCCCGCCCCGGCGCCCACCCCCCUCCGCCUGCAGGACAUCAAGACCGAGAACGGCGCCGCCGCCGCCUCGCCCCCGCCUGCCCCCUCCCCGCGGGGGGUUCUCGCGCCCCUGCCCAAGAGCGAGAGCCCCCCCAGCGCCAGCCCCGCGGGCAGCCCCCAGGCGGCGGGCGGCAGGGCGCUGGGCCUGGACCCCGGCUCGGCCGAGGCGCACCAGCAGCACCACCCGCACCCGCACCCCUCGGCCGGCUUCAGCGUGGACAACAUCAUCCUCAGCUCCCUGCGCGCCUCGCCCCAGGGCGCCGCCGAGCAACAGCAGCUACCACUGCAACUUGCAAGCCAUGAGCCUCUACGCAGCAGCAGCAGCAGCCGCAGCAGCCGCCGCCGCGGGGGGAGGCGGCGGGCCCGAGAGAGGGGGCGGCGGGGGGGCGCUGGGGGGCAGCCCGGUGGAGCAGGAGCCGCUGCCCGACUACAGCCUGGCGGCCAGCAGCGGCGGCAGCAGCAGCAGCAGCGCGUCGUCGCUCAGCCUGAGCCCCCCGGAGGGCCACUCGCAGGGCGGCGGCCGCCUGGCCUCCUGGUACCUCAACCAGGCCACGGCCGUGGGCGAGUUGGCCCACUUGGCCGCCGCCGCCUCCUCCUCGGCCUCGCCGGCCGCCUACCCGGGCCAGCAGCAGAACUUCCACGCCGUGCGCGACAUGUUCGAGUCCUCGCAGCGCCUGGGCCUGGCCGGCUCGCCCCUGGGCGCCAACGGCCCCGCCAGCAGCUGCCAGAUGGCCUUCCCCGGCGGCCAGGCCCUCUACCGACCGCCCGGCCAUGCCUUCGUCUACGACUGCAGCAAGUUCUGAGCCGGCCCGACUCCGCUCCCGGCCCGGCCCGGCCCCGCUCGCAGGAUGUCCUGCGCAGAGAGCCUUCACCUUCCUCCUCCUCCUCCUCCUCCUCCUCCGCCGCCGCCUUUUCUUCUGGUUUGUUGACGGACCGAGUGGCUGCCCGGGACGCCUCCGUUUGCUUUUGAGAUGCGCGCCCUUCGGUGCCCCCCUUUUUGGCUGCCCGCCGCCGCGCCGGAGCCCGCGGGGAUUGUCAGCCGCCCGAGGGAGGAGGAUUCUGUGCCCGGGUCCAGAAGAAACGAGUCCGCGGAACUCAAUGGGAUUUUGCUUCCAAGAAAGUCUGCAAAGGAUAGCAGCCCUAGACAUUAACUUGGGUAAAGAAGUGGACGCUGAGGGGAGGCCUGGGAGAAAAAGGAACAUUUUCCAGAAUGAGCCGAUCUUCUUUCCUUCUCCUGGGCUUUCCUUGUCACCCAGCGAUUGGUUGUAAGGAGCUUUAUGUUUCAAUUUAUUCGCCUCAAUCCAUACAUCAGCAACAGUUGGACCGACAUUUCAGUUCGAUGUGAAGUCAGGAGCAAAUUUGUGGAAGGAAAAUAGGCCUGCCUGCGUUGCAAACAUACCUUGUUCUUCAAUUGCACGGGGUUGGGAAUCCAUUUGUGAAUAAGCUGAAGACUGAGAUCCUAAACAUUUUCUCCGGCAAACAUGUCCCCUUGAAGCGAAUGAGGCACCCUUCGUAGUAAACAGGGGCAGGACUGGCAAUGGUGCCUGAACUUGUGUGGGUAGCGGCAGCCGUGUUUCAGACAGAUCCUGACUUUCUGUGGGAUUUCUUCUGAUUUGACCGCCUCCGUGUUUAUUGACUUGAGUCCUGGGGGCCUAGUUCGCCACCCCUUCUUUUUGAUUGUAGUUGACAGUGUACUUUUCCAAGGAAGAGCGCAGAUUCUGGCACAAAGGUCGUGCAAAGCGCCAAGCUUCUUAAAGCCGAGCCGGCGUUUUGGAGAACCAUCGGCUACAAUGCGAGUGCGCUCCUUGGCGUCGAUGGGACUUCAUCCAUUUGACUGGAGCUGGAUGGUGCUCUUUGUGUAUUUGUCAGCGGUUGGAGAAGGGAAGGCACAGGAGGAGAGAGAGAGAGAAAGAAAGGUGUGCGCGCGUAGUGGUUUCAGCCGUAUUUUUUAAAAAACCAGACUGCUUCUGAUCAGUGCGGGGGGGGGGGAAUACCAGGCGUCGCUCAGAACUUUGUGGGGGCUUUCUCACGCAUGAGAUUUAAGCCUCCCCCCCCCUCCCCCAAAUCCCUAAUUUCCCCGAAGGUUACAAACAGGAAUUUUAAUAACUGAUUUCAGCCGGGCCCUCGAUGUCUCUUCGAUACUUGCGGUAGGAGGUCGAGGGAAAUAGGGGCGGCUUUUUGGUGUGUGUGUGUGGGGCUGGCUGCUGGAUGGUUUCUUGGAUUUCCACAGGCAAAAGGGACUUCCUGCUUCCCAAAAGUUUCUCCAGUUUCUCCGCGGGAUCAGAGGCCUCGACAAAAGAGAUAGUUGGAUGGGGAAGGGGACAGAGUGCAGGAAGAGAAAACGCUAAACGAAGUGAGUCAACUGAAAUGUAUUUGCAUCCAAGCCGCUCUACAGUUGGGGCCUAAGCAGGCGUUACUCGGAAGCAAGGCUCACUGUAGUGUAGCCAGUGGGAUCUUUACUUCCAGAUAAGAGUGCGGAGGAGGAGCGCAGUUUCAGAUCCUUUGGCUGACGCACGGCUGCAAAUCAUUCCGGACACGCAGACUCGGAAGUGAGUCGUUCAGUGAAAUCCGCUAGGAUCCGGCUGUGGGCCGCCCUGCGCGCUCAAGGCUUCCGUGCCCAGGGUCUCCAAGCACCUUCCGCCCACUCAUGGGGAAGCAUCCUGUGCUUCCUUGGGAGUAACGCCUAUUGUAGGCAGGAGGACUUGGAAACCAGCACAGGAUCGAGCUCUGUUGCAAGCACUCCUGAGCGGUCUUCGUCGGCAUAGAGGGAAACUGGAGGGUCUUCUAUGUUUGGGAUCGGGCAGUGUCCGGGUCUGUUACUUGUGCGUGGCUGUGGUUUGCACCAGGAUCCUAAGUAAAUCUAGUUGCAGAUGUCUUCCAUUGGUUUCAGUAGGAAUCUCCUCUUAGUGAGGACGUAUAUUUAUGUGGUCCCCUGUCGGUCCCUCCCCACCCCCAGGUUUUGUUCCAGUCGAAAUAUGGCGGUGUCGUUUAGCCUACCCAGCAGGUCGAGCCAAAGGGGUCGCUCAGGUUUUGGACUCCAGGGGGCUGCUGAAGCCCGUUGUGCCUGGCUCAUCUGGACCGAGCCUCCCGACAGCUUGGCCUGGCCUCUCUCUUUCUUUCUCCACUGGGACGGGUGACUUCCGCGCUCCCAGACUGUGUCUUCCUCUCCAUUUAGUGAUGGGCUGGGAGUGGGACUCUUUGGGAGGU